rnacentral:rRNA from 1 species
GGUGAGUAACACGUGGAUAACCUACCUAUAAGACUGGGAUAACUUCGGGAAACCGGAGCUAAUACCGGAUAAUAUAUUGAACAGCAUGGUUCAAUAGUGAAAGACGGUUUUGCUGUCACUUAUAGAUGGAUCCGCGCCGCAUUAGCUAGUUGGUAAGGUAACGGCUUACCAAGGCAACGAUGCGUAGCCGACCUGAGAGGGUGAUCGGCCACACUGGAACUGAGACACGGUCCAG